rnacentral:lncRNA from 1 species
CUUGAACAGGAUAUUAGUGGAAAUAUUGCUGUGGUUGUCAGGAAACGCGAGUGCAGCCGCACAGCUACUGCCAGUUAUGCAGCGAGGAUAUCCGGUGGCUGCGAGGUCUGUAAUUUAGAAUAAAAAGCUCUCCCAACACCCGAGAGCCUGACCUCAGCGCCGCGUGGCGGUAAUGCGCUCAGCGCCCUCUGUGGAGACGGUCCAAAUCCUGACAGGUGGGAGAGCUUAGGUUAGACCUUCAAGAGCCCUGCAGAUGGACCUGCAGAAUCAGACUGCAAAAGUGAGCCAGCCACUUGCUAAACGUAGUUGAAGUGGAGGGCACAGAUCGCCUGCCAGUUAAUAUUAAUAAGUAGUGUUUUCCAGGGCAGACUGCUACUUCCGUGUUGGGUUCUUUACAAAGUGGGUAACUGACCGUUAUUCACGAAGCCAGAAGCGUGUAUCUGCAGUACCACGAGGCUGGAGAAGGAUCCAGGACCACACAGCUGUCUUCUUAGAUAAAUCUGACCCACUUGGCCUUCUCUGGAGGGAUGUUUCGUGCUGACUCACGAGCAACAGGAAGAUAAACUGUCCAAGAGCAACAAGAAAA